UGCGUAACGCGUGAGCAACCUACCUCUAUCAGGGGGAUAGCCUCUCAAAAAAGAGAUUAACACCGAAGAAUAUAAUGUACCGAGCAUCGGGACAUUAUUAAAUAUUUAUAGGAUAUAGAUGGGCUCGCGUGACAUUAGCUAGUUGGUAGGGUAACGGCUUACCAAAGCAUACGAUGUCUAGGGGCUCAGAGAAGAGAAUCCCCCACACAGGUACAGAGACACCGACCACACUCCUACGGGAGGCAGCGUAAAGAAUAUUGGUCAAUGGGCGGAAGCCUGAACCAGCCAUGCCGCGUGCAGGAUGACUGCCCUAUGGGUUGUAAACUGCUUUUGUCCAGGAAUAAACCUAGAUACGUGUAUCUAGCUGAAUGUACUGGAAGAAUAAGGAUCGGCUAACUCCGUGCCAGCAGCCGC
rnacentral:rRNA from 1 species